CCAGACCUCAUUUAAGGGUUGGCAGUGGAGGUGAAGGUGUCUUGCUGGAGAUCCCUGCCUAUCUACGACCUUCUGAGGGAAUAAAAAAAUCCCCACAAACCAGAGCACUGUCCUAUUUGGCUGUAUUACUUCUUCUCUGAGCAACACUGACUUUACUGACUCCAAGUACAGGUGGAGAAGAUCUGGAGAUGCUCGUGCCACUGACAUGUAAGCCAUGUGUGAUGGCACCAGGACAACAGUCUGUGACCUGGAUGGACUUUGUAUCUCAGUUUCCCCUAUGGACAAGGAGGUUGUCCAUUGUGCUCCU
rnacentral:lncRNA from 1 species